AUUGAACGCUGGCGGCAGGCCUAACACAUGCAAGUCGAACGAGUGGCGGACGGGUGAGUAAUGUCUGGGAAACUGCCCGAUGGAGGGGGAUAACUACUGGAAACGGUAGCUAAUACCGCAUACCAUCGGAUGUGCCCCGAUGGGAUUAGCUAGUAGGUGGGGUAACGGACUACCUAGGAGACGAUACCUAGCUGGUCUGAGAGGAUGACCAGCCACACUGGAACUGAGACACGGUCCAGACUCCUACGGGAGGCAGCAGUGGGGAAUAUUGCACAAUGGGCGAAAGCCUGAUUCAGCCAUGCCGCGUGUAUGAAGAAGGCCUUCGGGUUGUAAAGUACUUUAAGCGGGGAGGCGUUACACGCAGAAGAAGCACCGGCUAACUCCGUGCCAGCAGCCGCGGUAAUUC
rnacentral:rRNA from 1 species